GUGGUGGUGGGGAUUAGCAUCAUCAGAGUGGUAGUGGGGAUUAGCAUCAUCAGUGUGGUAGUGGGGAUUAGCAUCAUCAGCGUGGUGGUGGGGAUGAGCAUCAUCAGAAAGUGGGGAUUAGCAUCAUCAGAGUGGUAGUGGGGAUUAGCAUCACCAGUGUGGUGGGGAUUAGCAUCAUCAGUGUGGUAGUGGGGAUUAGCAUCACCAGUGUGGUAGUGGGGAUUAGCAUCAUCAUUGUGGUAGUGGGGAUUAGCAUCAUCAGCAUGGUAGUGGGGAUUAGCACUAUCAGUGUGGUAGUGGGGAUUAGCAUCAUCAGCGUGGUGGUCGGGAUUAGCAUCAUCAGAGUGGUAGUGGGGAUUAGCAUCAUCAGAGUAGUAGUGGGGAUUAGCAUCAUCAUUGUGGUGGUGGGGAUUAGCAUCAUC
ensembl:lncRNA